ACUCCUGUCAUCAUUCUGUGGUAGGUGUGAAGGAUGACAAGUCACCGGGUGGUGUUGAUCCUGACCUCCCACGCCUGCCCAGUCCCCCUCCUCCCAAACCAACACAGCCUCCCAUUUCUGACCCCUCGUUACACGAGCGCUGUGAGGGAGGCUUUGAUGCAGUGGCAAACAUCAGGGGAGAAGUCUUCUUUUUUAGGGGUGCACACUUCUGGAGAAUUACGC